rnacentral:tRNA from 1 species
GAGGGUAUAACUUAUGUGGUAGAGUGCAUGCUUAGCAUGCUUGAGGUCCUGGGUUCGAUACCCAGUACGUCCU